GGGGCGGACCCCGCCGAGGCAACAGUUUGUUAACGUUCACAUUGGUUUGGAGUUGUAAACUCGGUAAUUUCCGUAGGUGAACCUGCGGAGGGAUCGGCU
rnacentral:rRNA from 1 species